rnacentral:lncRNA from 1 species
UAAGAAAUGUCAGGGAAAGAAGAAAAUAUAGUUACCCUUGUUUAAAAGACCUAAAUUUGCAUUGCAUGAGUGUUGGAAGUAAUCAGUAUAUUUUCCUUAUAAAAUUUAAGGGUCUGUUUGGUUUCAAUGUUUUAUGUUUUCGCUUUUAAUUACAAAAUUGUUAUCUUGUUUUCAAUUGGUUCCUGUUUAGUUACAUGAUAUACUAUAUAUGUGUUGUAUUGUUAACAAGUUAGUUCUUAUCAUAAAACCUAUGCAGUUACAUAACUAUCUUCCCCUUCACACCAUUUAUGUGUUGUCUGUCCCAGCUCAUGUUUAUGAUGAUAUAAUUAUGAAUAAACUUCUACCAAGAUUUUACCUGCAUCAACUUGAUUCCCUUAAUCUAAUCCAACGUGGCAAUUAUGUUAAUCACGGUAAUUUUUAUGAUGAAAUCUUAAGCUCAAUGCAUAGGCUCCAGGUAUUUACCAAAUUAUUACUAUUUUCACCACUAACUACUGCUGAAGUAUCCCCACGACAACUACUGAAGUUGAUCUAAUAACAAAACAUUUUGAAAGUUUUGCUGCUGAAUGCUGGAUUAAGGUUAAUGUCAAUGUUGUCAAUUGCGGAAAAGAGCAGUUUGUUCAAAUUCCACUAUGCUACAGUGUUGUAGCACCACUAUUUAACAAUACUUUGUCCUAAAUAGCGCAUCACGGAAUAAUAGUGAUCUUUUAAACAUCUGCUGUUCUAUAACGCUACUACUUGACAAUGUUGGUUGAUGUCAUAUAAAUGUUGAGAACUACUAAAAGUACUGCCGCUGUUGCAACUUUUAUGCUAGAUAGCUUUGGUCAUAUCCCCAAUUUGUCAUAUUAUUACUAUCAUAAUCAGAAUAUUUAUCACUAUUACUGCUAUAAUUUCACCAUUGAAUUUUAGUUAUUUGAUCUCCAAGGUGCUUAUGUAACUUACACUUUCUGAAAAUUGUGGACUUGGAAUUCCUGCAGCUAAGGAUCUGAACAUAGGGGUAACUUGAAGAGGGGAACUGAACUCUGCACUUGACAAGGAACAAACAAUGCCAUCAUUGUUUAUCUGUUCUUCACAAGAUGAGAAUAUAUCUGCUACAAAAAGAUAAAUAUCUAAUUAGCAAUUCUGAUUCGUUGAGAUUUGAGACGUUAGCAAAUUAGCAUAUAAAAGAUUUUAUCUUUUGAGGAAGUUGAAAUUUUUUGGUCUAAGUAUUAAAAAGUAAAAAAUGAAAACAGUUGAACC